UACGUAGGGGGCAAGCGUUGUCCGGAAUCAUUGGGCGUAAAGCGCGUGUAGGCGGCUCGAUAAGUCUGCUGUGAAAGUCCAGGGCUCAACCCUGGGAUGCCGGUGGAUACUGUCGAGCUCGAGUCCGGAAGAGGUGUGUGGAAAUCCUGGUGUAGCGGUGAAAUGCGCAGAUAUCGGGUGGAACACCAGGGGCGAAGGCGGCAUCCUGGCUCUGUACUGACGCUGAGGCGCGAGAGCGUGGGGAGCAAACCGG
rnacentral:rRNA from 1 species